GCUGGCGUAGCUCAGCAGGUAGAGCAACGGAUUUGUAAUCCGUGGGUCGGGGGUUCGAUUCCCUUCGCCAGCUCCA
rnacentral:tRNA from 1 species